GUCUUGCUGCUUAGAAUAUAAGUUUCUUCAAAAACUCAUAAUGCAUUAGAAUCUGGUAAUACAAGAACAUGAUUGACAUCAAUUGUAUCUGUAAUGGGACUAAGCACUUUCCCAACUGCAUUGUCCUCAUAGGAGAAGUGAGUAUAAUCAUAUUUUUCUAGCACACUUUAGUAGUUAGCAUUGUUCUAAGUAAAAGAUUCAGCUAUGGGAGGCACUCAGUCAAUAUUUGUGAUUCUGAGUAUUAACGCAUACAUAUUUGAUAGAAGAAGAAAAGUUGCUUUCUAGCAAACAUCUAUUUUAUCCAUGAAUCAGGCAAUAUUAUGCCCUAGUUUGAAAAUUAUCUAUCUGUAGAGAUAUUGGAAGAUGAGUAUUUUGUGUGUUUUUUUUCCUACUGACACCUGCAUUUUAUGGGGGAGAGAAUAGGGCAAAGACAAAUAAGCUGACAUGGAAUGAGGUAGUUCAUAUUCCUCUUCCCUUGGGAGGGAUUUUGAGGUGUGACAGCCAUAAUUUUGAGGUAGUCAAUAUGGCCUUGAAGUUCCCCUAAGCUUGACUAAACUUUAGAGAGAUUUCUUUCUAACUGUAGGUUCCUGACCUCACUUUUCUUAGAGCAUUCACUUUAGAAACCACUUCAUUGUAAAUUUGUAUCUGUCCCUUUGAGAGGUACAUCUUCUGCAACCCAGAAAUGUCCUUCUCAAGGACCUGGGAGCCACCUCUUUGAAAUGUAAUCACUGAAGGCCAUAGUGCCCUUUUCUCCCAAUUUCUGUGGGGGAGUAGGGGCUUAGCUUCCAUAAGCACCAAUUAGCAAAUACAGAUGAUCUCAUUGCAUUGACUAACCACCCUUCCCCACCCCACUCAACCUCUUUCAGUAUUUCUUUAUUAGUCAUCUCAGCACCUAAAAACUCUUUCACCUUUUGUUUCAAGAGAGUUGAGUUCCUCCUUUCAAGUAUUCCUUGCAGUUUAAAUCCACCUGGUACAAUUAUUCUUUAACAGAGACCUUUAAAUAUCAACUUGCUGUGCAAAUUUUACAAAUUAACUUUAUUGAUGGUAGGAUAAGGUAAAUAAUACUCUCCAAGAACAAUUAUGCAUUUAUAAGUGGCCCUUGGGGUACCUUAAAUAUGUGGGCAUAGAGAAAGUAUUCAUUUUAAAUUGAUAUGUAAUAACUGCUUUAGUGUGUGUUUAAUGAAAAAAAAACAGAUACUGACUCUCUGAACAUAAAAAUUAUUUUUGUCACUCUGACAAAAGAAGAGUUUGACAGAAAUAUUGAAUUAUACUUAGUAGGACACUAUUCUUGAGACAGCUUCAUUGUUUUCAAAAUUUCUUGUACUUUGCUUCUUAAUUUUCAUCCUAAAUUUAAACAGCUUUGUUAGGUUUCACUAACACACCUCUGUGCCUAAAGAAUAGCUCUCUACCUCGGUUUUGCUAUCAAUUAAUCUUUCAUUUUGGAUUUUUUUCUUUUGUUACCUAUUUAAUCAGUUUGGCCAACUUUCAUAUAUACUACAAAUGACUUUUCCUUUCAAUGUCUAGUUUUUUAUUUCAUUUAUUUGCUAGGUAUUAGAGACAUAAAGAAGAUAAAUGAUUCAUAAAAGACAAUGAUUAAGAAAGAAUUUCUGUCCUGAAAUUUCUUAAAAGUAUAGUGGGGAGAGAAAUAAGUAAACAGCUAACAGUAAUAUAGUAUAGUAAGUUGUAUGGAGUUAUUUUGGACUGACUAGAGAAAAACAUAUACUGGACAAAUAAUCUCAGCCUUGAUGGUGGUGAUGGGGGAAGUAGUGGAUACAUGCGGGUUUGUGGGAGGAAGCAUCCCUCAAAUGGGUACCACUGGAGAGCAGAAUAAGUGCUGAAGAUAUUGGUAGAAGGUGAUGAAGAGGAGGAGUGCUGGAAAGGUAAACAGGAAGUUUCACAUUAGGGAGUUUAAACUUGAUCUUGCAUGUGAGAGUGCUGUUGAGAUAUUCUGUAGUUAGAAACUUACUGGCAUAAUCCUAUUUAGGAUUUAGAAGAAAGGUCUGGUUUUAGUAUUGGAAUGAUUUGGAAGUCGUAUUAAGGUUUUAUAAACUUUUUGGUUUACCUUCUUAAUAAAUGUAAGAG
rnacentral:lncRNA from 1 species